rnacentral:rRNA from 1 species
GAUGAACGCUGGCGGCGUGCCUAACACAUGCAAGUCGAACGGAGUCGUUUUGGAAAUCUCUUCGGAGAUGGAAUUCUCGACUUAGUGGCGGACGGGUGAGUAACGCGUGAGCAAUCUGCCUUUAAGAGGGGGAUAACAGUCGGAAACGGCUGCUAAUACCGCAUAAAGCAUUAAAUUCGCAUGUUUUUGAUGCCAAAGGAGCAAUCCGCUUUUAGAUGAGCUCGCGUCUGAUUAGCUAGUUGGCGGGGUAACGGCCCACCAAGGCGACGAUCAGUAGCCGGACUGAGAGGUUGAACGGCCACAUUGGGACUGAGACACGGCCCAGACUCCUACGGGAGGCAGCAGUGGGGAAUAUUGCGCAAUGGGGGAAACGCUGACGCAGCAACGCCGCGUGAUUGAAGAAGGCCUUCGGGUUGUAAAGAUCUUUAAUCAGGGACGAAACAAAUGACGGUACCUGAAGAAUAAGCUGCGGCUAACUACGUG